UGCAUCGGCCGGGAAUCGAACCCAGGCCGCCCGCGUGGCAGGCGAGCAUUCUACCACAGAACCACCAAUGG
rnacentral:tRNA from 1 species